GAAAUGCGAUAAGUAAUGUGAAUUGCAGAAUUCCGUGAAUCAUCGAAUCUUUGAACGCACAUUGCGCCCUCUGGUAUUCCGGGGGGCAUGCCUGUCCGAGCGUCAUUGCGAACCCUCAAGCCCGGCUUGCGUGAUGGGCCCUCCCCGUCCGUCGUGGACGGGGGGCCCCAAAGGCAGUGGCGGCGUCGUGGCAAUCCGAUCGCCUGAGCGUAUGGGGACUCACCGUCACACGCUGAAGGCGCGGACCGACGCCCGCCUGUUGACCUACAAUCUUUUAAGGUUGACCUCGGAUCAGGUAGGGAUACCCGCUGAACUUAA
rnacentral:misc_RNA from 1 species